rnacentral:lncRNA from 1 species
UUAUUAGAUGGCUUUAUGAUUACACUGAGCACAGAUGGAGUGAUCAUUUGUGUGGCUGAAAACAUCUCUUCUCUUCUUGGACAUUUACCAGCUGAGAUUGUGGGCAAAAAAUUAUUAAGCCUUCUGCCUGAUGAAGAGAAAGAUGAAGUCUACCAAAAGAUUAUUCUCAAAUUUCCUUUACUAAACUCAGAAACACAUAUUGAAUUUUGCUGUCAUUUAAAAAGAGGAAAUGUCGAACAUGGUGAUAGUUCUGCUUACGAAAACGUGAAAUUUAUUGUGAAUGUAAGAGAUAUUUGUAAUGGGUACAUCAGACUAAGAUUUCUACCAUGUUGAUGAUUUGUGUUUACUUUUUAAGUGUGAUGAAUAUUUGAUACAAUUUGGACAAAGAAAGUUGUGCUUGUAUCUGUUCCUAACCAAAGGCCAGCAGUGGAUAUGGCUGCAAACCCUCUGUUACAUCCAUUACAGCCAUCAUCACCAGUUGCAUAUGACAUCAUUAGCCAGGAACUGGAACUGAUGAAGAAGUUGAAGGAGCAGCUAGAAGAGAGGACUUGGUUGCUGCAUGAUGCCAUCCAAAACCAGCAGAAUGCAUUGGAAUUGAUGAUGGAUCACCUUCAG